UACGGAGGGGGCUAGCGUUGUUCGGAAUUACUGGGCGUAAAGCGCACGCAGGCGGUCUCUUAAGUUUGGAGUGACAGUUGGUGGCUUAACUGCCAAAGUGCUUCGAAAACUGAGAGACUUGAGGGCUUCAGAGGGACACGGAAUUCCGGGUGGAGUGGUGAAAUGCGUAGAGAUCCGGAGGAACACCAAAGGCGAAGGCAGUGUCCUGGGGAGUACCUGACGCUCAGGUGCGAAAGCCAGGGGAGCGAACGGG
rnacentral:rRNA from 1 species